UUCGGGAAUAGAAAUAGAAUCUUCCCAGGUGGCUCAGUGGUAAAGAAUCCGCCUGCCAAGGCAGGAGAGAUGCAGGGAUUUCAGCUUUAUUUAAGGAUCUCUUAUGAUGCACCCUACUUUGAUCAAGCUCUGGACUUAAAACUCUCCAUCCCAUCCCCAUCAACCUCCAAAGCAGAAGACCAAGGUGCCAGCAUCUGGCAGAAACUUCCAGGGUGGAGCUAAAAAGAAUUUCCAAAGAUGAUAACCAAUGGACUUUUGUUGGAGAAAAACAAAUAGCAUGCCAGUCUGGACUGAUGUUGAAGCUGAAACUCCAAUACUUUGGCCACCUGAUGUGAAGAGCUGACUCAUUGGAAAAGACCCUGAUGCUGGGCAAGAUUGAAGGCAGGAGGAGAAGGGGACGACAGAGGAUGAGAUGGUUGGAUGGCAUCACCGACUCGAUGGACAUGGGUUUGGGUGGACUCCAGGAGUUGGUGAUGGACAGGGAGGCCUGGCAUGCUGCGGUUCAUGGGUUCGCAAAGAGUCAGACGACUGAGUGACUGAACUGAACUGAACUACCUCUCGAAGAGGCUCCCAGAAAUAACAAUGCUAUCCUACACCUGAAACUAUCAUGUCAAAUGUGUUAAUAAUUACAAUAGCUAGUGUCCUUCAGGGUAGGCUGAUUAUCAUUUGCAGAACUCUAGGUAAUGAUAUGUAUUACCUCAGCCUUCACAAUAACCAUCUGCAGGAGACAUUAUCGUUAGUUCCAUUUUACAGAUAAGGAAACUGAAGAGCGGAAUGGUUAAGUAAUUUGCCCAAAGAAUGUGGUGGAAGUGGGAGGUGCUUGGGUUCCGGAACACAUGCCCCUAGCCUUACCAGCUCUGUUAGAAGAUAAACAAUCAGUGAAAAACUAGCUUCCUAAAAAAUACAGCCCAUAUCAGAUUAUUCAGGAGGACUGAAUAAUCUAAUAU
ensembl:lncRNA